UACCGGCGGCUCGAGUGGUGGCCGCUAUUACUGGGCUUAAAGGGUCCGUAGCUUGAUAUACAAGUCCCUUGAGAAAUCCGCCAGCUUAACUGGCGGGCGUUCAGGGGAAACUGUAUUUCUAGGGACCGGGAGAGGUGAGAGGUACUGCCGGGGUAGGAGUGAAAUCCUGUAAUCCCGGUGGGACCACCUAUGGCGAAGGCAUCUCACCAGAACGGGUCCGACAGUGAGAUGCCUUCGCCAUAGGUGGUCC
rnacentral:rRNA from 1 species